rnacentral:rRNA from 1 species
ACGGGAGGCAGCAGUGGGGAAUAUUGGGCAAUGGACGAAAGUCUGACCCAGCGACGCCGCGUGAGGGAAGAAGGUCUUCGGAUUGUAAACCUUAGUCAACAGGGACGAAGAAGAUGACGGUACCUGUGGAGGAAGCCACGGCUAACUACGUGCCAGCAGCCGCGGUAAUACGUAGGUGGCGAGCGUUAUCCGGAUUUACUGGGUGUAAAGGGCGCGUAGGCGGGGAUGCAAGUCAGAUGUGAAAUCUAUGGGCUUAACCCAUAAACUGCAUUUGAAACUGUAUCUCUUGAGUGCUGGAGAGGUAGAUGGAAUUCCUAGUGUAGCGGUGAAAUGCGUAGAUAUUAGGAAGAACACCAGUGGCGAAGGCGAUCUACUGGACAGUAACUGACGCUGAGGCGCGAAAGCGUGGGGAGCAAACAGGAUUAGAUACCCUGGUA